rnacentral:tRNA from 1 species
GGAUUGUGGCUCAGUGGUAGUGUGCUUGCCUUGCAUGCAUGGGGCACUGGGUUUGAUCCUCAACACCA